rnacentral:ncRNA from 1 species
CGAACGGCAAUGAUGAAGAGUAGUAUCUUUAUUGAAAACGUCAGAGAGCUGGUGGUUGGUGUGAACCAGUGUGGACGAUAAAGAGAAUGGGCUUCUGAGCUUCUAAACCGAACCAACUUUUGUAGUAGGCUUUAGCGAAUGUCUCAUCGUUACAAGAGACAGAAAUUUGUCUUAUAAGACUGAUUUCUUAAAGUGAGCUUGAUUUAAUUAAGCUAAUGAAGGUGGCACCACGGGUUUCUCGUCCUUUUU